rnacentral:snoRNA from 1 species
GAGACUGAUGUGAUUGCAAUUAUUGGCCCACAGUGCUCAACAAUUGCACAUAUCGUUUC